AUUGAACGCUGGCGGCAGGCCUAACACAUGCAAGUCGAGCGGUAACACAGAGGAGCUUGCUCCUUGGGUGACGAGCGGCGGACGGGUGAGUAAUGCCUGGGGAUCUGCCCGAUAGAGGGGGAUAACUACGGGAAACUGUAGCUAAUACCGCAUAAUGUCUACGGACCAAAGUGGGGGCUCUUCGGACCUCAUGCUAUCGGAUGAACCCAGGUGGGAUUAGCUAGUUGGUGAGGUAAUGGCUCACCAAGGCGACGAUCUCUAACUGGUUUGAGAGAAUGACCAGUCACACUGGAACUGAGACACGGUCCAGACUCCUACGGGAGGCAGCAGUGGGGAAUAUUGCACAAUGGGCGCAAGCCUGAUGCAGCCAUGCCGCGUGUGUGAAGAAGGCCUUCGGGUAGUAAAGCACUUUCAGCGGGGAGGAAGGGUCACUAGUUAAUACCUAGUGGCAUUGACGUUACUCGCAGAAGAAGCACCGGCUAACUCCGUGCCAGCCGCCGCAGUAA
rnacentral:rRNA from 1 species